rnacentral:rRNA from 1 species
GACGAACGCUGGCGGCGUGCUUAACACAUGCAAGUCGAGCGGUAAGGCCCUUUCGGGGGUACACGAGCGGCGAACGGGUGAGUAACACGUGGGUGACCUGCCCUCAGCUCUGGGAUAAGCCUGGGAAACUGGGUCUAAUACUGGAUAUGACUCCACGGUGCAUGUCGUGGGGUGGAAAGCCUUGUGCGGCUGAGGAUGGGCCCGCGGCCUAUCAGCUUGUUGGUGGGGUGAUGGCCUACCAAGGCUACGACGGGUAGCCGGCCUGAGAGGGCGACCGGCCACACUGGGACUGAGACACGGCCCAGACUCCUACGGGAGGCAGCAGUGGGGAAUCUUGCGCAAUGGGCGAAAGCCUGACGCAGCGACGCCGCGUGAGGGAUGACGGCCUC